rnacentral:rRNA from 1 species
ACGAACGCUGGCGGCAUGCCUAACACAUGCAAGUCGAACGAGACCUUCGGGUCUAGUGGCGCACGGGUGCGUAACGCGUGGGAACCUGCCCUUAGGUUCGGAAUAACUCCCCGAAAGGGGUGCUAAUACCGGAUAACGUCUUCGGACCAAAGAUUUAUCGCCUUUGGAUGGGCCCGCGUUGGAUUAGCUAGUUGGUAGGGUAAAAGCCUACCAAGGCGACGAUCCAUAGCUGGUCUGAGAGGAUGAUCAGCCACACUGGGACUGAGACACGGCCCAGACUCCUACGGGAGGCAGCAGUGGGGAAUAUUGGACAAUGGGCGAAAGCCUGAUCCAGCAAUGCCGCGUGAGUGAUGAAGGCCUUAGGGUUGUAAAGCUCUUUUACCCGGGAUGAUAAUGACAGUACCGGGAGAAUAAGCUCCGGCUAACUCCGUG